CCCCGCCCCGCCCCAGGCCGGCGAAUUUGCAGACGCAGGGAACCACGCCCACCGGCAGGAGUGGGGGCGGGCGUUGUGUGCCCCCCUUCCAACAGGAGGCUUAUCCUGUGGCUGGGAACAUUUCCUGCCAGGCUGCAAGGAGUGAGACUGAGAAACCAUCCCUCAGGCUGAGGAGAGAGGCCGGGUUUGAAAUGUGUGCUUUGGGAAAGAAAAGGAGAAAAUGUGGCACUCUCCCAUUUAAAGCAUCCACAUCAAAAAUUGAAGAACUGGAUUACAUUGCUGUUUACUUAGUCAAGUUACAGUAAACUUGAUUUCCUUUCAGAUCAGGUGAGAUCCUUCUACCUGCUACUCCUGACUGCAACCCUCUGCUAUGCUGCUUUCUCCAAAUUAAGUUUUGCCUCCACAUGGCCCUGAAUAAGGAGGGGUAAUUGCCUGACAAAGUUGUUAAAUCAAACAGACCUGGGAUUUCAUGAUGAAAAUAGGAAGGUUCAAAUCCACAUCAGCUAACUCCGGCCUCAAAUAUGGCUCAGACAGCAUCAUUCAAUAAGACUUAUAUGACCUGAACUGAGUCACCUGGAUCUGAAGAUGUCAACCAAAGUUCAGAAGACUGAAUGUGGAAGAUUUUUAUCCACCGAGGGAAAGGCUUCAGACAGUGACGUCAAUAUCUCACCAUUGCACUCUAGCCUGGGUGACAGAAUGAGAGUCCAUCUCAAAAAAAACAAAAACAAAAACAAAAAUCAAACAAACAAAAACCAAAACAGAAAGUGAUGUAAAGAGAAAGACAGCGUUGCCUCCACACAGAGGAAAUCUGGGAGAGAUGGCAAAGAGAAGAGUAAAGGAUACUUUGGGCGUCUGUCUUAGAGGAAGAGGAGCUGUCAUAUCUGCUCCUUCCUGGGUUAUAGGGUAAUAUGAGCAAUAGGUUUGAGGGCCUGAGGCUUGAGAAGCUUCUGUGUCAUCCCCACCUGAAACUCUGGAAUGAGGCAACCCUGCAGAGACCUUAAGAUGGCCUACACCUCCUGGAAUCCUUUAUAAACAUACAGACGGGAUCCAGAAUUUCCCACAAUUGCCAGCAAGAACUGACUGACAAACUCUUUGAGGAAUCACUAUUGUCCAAGAUGAAAUGACCUUGUAGCCAAGGGUCUCAGGGUUUCAUUGCCCAAGCCAGGAGUCAAAAAGUAGUUCUAGCCAGGCCAACGGGAGAUCCCUAGUGGGGACUAAUGAGCAGUGGGAAAUGUUGGAGUUCCUAAGGAGCAUUGCUUAUGCUAAUAGAGGGAACAGGAGGUCCACCAGCAGUGGGGGCAGUGUGAACAGAGCCCCCUACCCCACCAAAAGCUAAAGCAGAUAUGCAAAGUUUGGAGGACAGCAUCGUCUUCACAAUGUCACAUAAUGUGCCCUGUGCUCAGGUACCAUCUCACGACAUAGAGUAGAAGACAAGAACCCAUCACAAGGGAGAACAACUAUGAUAGGAACUUGGAACUUUGAUGAGCUUAAAUGCAAACUGAAUUACUUUCUGAGAAAGCCUGCUUUAAAUCGGAAGAGACUGAGCAUCCUUGAAGUGAUAGUCAUAGAGUUAAGCUGAGUUCAAGGAUAUAUGAAUAAAGCUAUAUUUCUUAUACAUCUGAUUUGUGACUCUAUUAGAAAGGUAAAACCUGUUGGGUGAAGAUGAAUAAGAUACAUAAAAUAAGAGACAUUUUUAAAAAGGAUAAGAUGUAGGUAGCAGUGUGUUACAAGGGGGGCCAUGGAAGCCAGAAGUUUUCUAUAUUACUAUUUUGCAUAUGAUUGGUAUUGACAUUUUAAUGAAUAAAUACAUUUCUUGCUUGUAAAUUGGGCUUAUGGGGCUGAAAUGAAAAUAGAUGAAGCCUAGGGCCAGAGGUGCUAAUGUCCUACUUCAGAAAUGUGAUGCCAAUUGAGAAAAACAGAAUAGAGUUGGAUGAAAUCCCAAUAAACGGCAAUCUAGUUAAGUGGAGAAUGAGGCUUUAUGAAAAGAAAUAUUAAGAUGAUAAAUCAAUUGAGAAACACAAAUUUUUAACAGGCUACAGAUUGAACUCUAUCAGUUAAAAUAUAUAUUUAAAAAGUCGUCAGCCAUUAUUCAAUCUCACUUGAAAAAAGUUAAAAAGUGAGUUGGAUGACUCAGAGGUUUGAUUCAUUGUGCCAAUUUUUUUUUUGACCCAAUAAACCCCACAUGAUUUCAGAAGUGGCACAAUCCCAGGUAUCUGCAUGUAUUGUACAUGCUAGGGGGUGGGCAGGGUUUUUGUUUACUGGUGUUACCCAAGGAAUGUCCCAGCAAUAGGGCAUCUGUUUUCAGAACAGACAUCAGUCAAGAUGAGGUUUUCCUUCAAAACAUUUUAAAACAAGAUACUGAGAGAACCCGGAUGCAAUGGUAGAAGAAUACUCAUUCCCCAGUGAAACCACAGUAUUGGGAAACUGUCCAUGUGGAGCUUUCAUAGAAAAGACUCAAAGAGCUACAAACUGGCACAAACUUGGACAGAACAAGGCUCAGGACUCAGAGUAGGCUUUGGGUGAAUGUUUAAGAAAUGGAUUAAUUUUGUACCAGAGACUUUGAACUAAGAAGCAGACAUCUCAGGACAGAGCAGAUUCUGAGUUAUGGCAGCAAUGUGGGACAUGCAGCAGAAAAAGUGGCUGGAGGCAGCAAUAAAUCACAAUGGAUAAAGCAUUGUCAUCAGUUCCUCAGUGAAGAAGAAACAGAUACCUGCAUAAUACAUUCUCUGCCUCCUUUAUAGUUAAUUUUCCAUGUACUAAAUCAUAUGGAGAUCUUAUUAUAGAGUGUGGGUUUAGUCAUUCUCAAUAAAUGCUUUUGAUGCUUCCAUAAAAA